AUUUAGAAUCACAGCACUUUCCAUAAUGUGAAAUAAAAAGAAGUGAAAUAGAAGUAGCUGGAUAGAAAAAGUGAAGUCAUAGUAACAUCAACUCUGGAUUGCAAUGCUUUUGCCCAAAGAGGAAGCCAAUUAUUGGGGAACAAUGAGGAAGUCAACAGAAGACCGCCUCAAGGAAAAGGAAGAGUCAUAACUGUGCACCAGGCGUACUGGCUAUGUGACCUCAAUCAUGGCUUUCCUCCUCUUAAUCUCAACUCCUCCAUUUGUAAAUUAAGAGGAAAGAAAUUUGAACAGGAAGACAGAUAGACACAAGCAGACCAUCAUGUAAAGAUAAAGAUAGGAAUCAAGAGUGAUGCAUUUGCAAACUAAGAACACGGAAGAAUCCCAGUAAAUCACCAGAAGUUAGGAAAAAGUCAUGGAAUAGAUUCUGCCUCAGAGCCUCCAGAGGAAUCCAACCCUGCCAACACCUUCAUCUUGG
rnacentral:lncRNA from 1 species